AAACUUUUUGGACGUCCAGUUCUGCAACGCCUUGGAUAAGGGUGCUCUUCGCCACCAAGCACUGGUCGUGCCAACUCUUUGAUUUCAGGUAAUGCAAGAUCAUUGUACACAUCAUAAUCGUAUAUUCUUUCGUGUCUUUUACGCUCUCCUUGUCCAUCGCCUUGCAAAUUGUUAAGCUCUUCGGCUCUUAACCUCUUUAAUCCGUUCGGUGUUUGUGAGGGCAAGUAUGACUAAUUCAAAAAUGAAGGGGAAAAAAAUCAAUUAAGAAUUAAGAUGAAUGUGACUAUAUACGAUAUUAUAAAAAAAAAAUUACUAGAAGAAACUUGACAGUACCAGGGAAUCUUGUAAAAUUUGGUCUACACAACAUAUAUUUGAUAAAAAUAAUCUUCGAUAUAAUUUUAUUAUUUCGGCUGUCAACUUCAAGUUUCUUAGGUCAUGUGGUAACUCAUCGCGGAAUCAAAACAAAUUUAAACAUAAAGUCCGGUGUUUAGAUUCUGGAAAUAAACUACAGCAAAUUCUAAUUUACAGGUAUGGGACGAAAUGGAAUAUCAUAAUAUGAAAGGAGUUAUUUUUGGUUUUAACUUUUUACUUUUAUAAGUUACAUUUGCAAGGCAAUCAUAAGGUCUCACAUUACUAUUAAUUUUCUCUCCCUAGCCUGACUCACAUUACUAUUAAUUUUCUCUCCCUAGCCUGACUUUUUUUGUGCAUAUACAUAAUUCAUGAAAAAAGGAAACUAAAAGGAAAAAGAAAAGAAAAUUGGCGGCAGAGAAGAAUAUAAGUUUUACAAUUAUAUAAGCCAGAAAAUUAAAAUCUGAAACUGACCUUAUUAGUAAAGAAAAUUCUCUUUUGUUUGUCAACUAUUUUUGGCUGAAUCCAUGAAUCACAAGUUAAAUUCACAGGACCAUUUGGGAGACCAUCAAGAACAAUAUCCUGCAAAUACAUUUCUGUGAGUUGAUCAGAUUCCACUAAUAUGGCACCGACAUCUCCAAAACUUGCUGGAAUUUUUAAUUCUGCUUUAUAUUU
rnacentral:lncRNA from 1 species